AAUGAACGCUGGCGGCAGGCCUAACACAUGCGAGUCGGACGAGGCAGCAAUGCCUAGUGGCGGACGGGUGAGUAACGCGUGGGAACGUGCCCCUUUCUACGGAAUAGCCUCGGGAAACUGGGAGUAAUACCGUAUAAGCUCGCAAGAGGAAAGAUUUAUCGGGAAGGGAUCGGCCCGCGUUGGAUUAGGUAGUUGGUGGGGUAAUGGCUUACCAAGCCGACGAUCCAUAGCUGGUUUGAGAGGAUGAUCAGCCACACUGGGACUGAGACACGGCCCAGUCUCCUACGGGAGGCAGCAGUGGGGAAUCUUAGACAAUGGGGGAAACCCUGAUCUAGCCAUGCCGCGUGAUCGAUGAAGGCCUUAGGGUUGUAAAGAUCUUUCAGUGGGGAAGAUAAUGACGGUACCCACAGAAGAAGCCCCGGCUAACUCCGUGCCAGCCGCCGCCGUAA
rnacentral:rRNA from 1 species